UUAGCUAUGAUCUUGGUUUCUAAUGGUAUCAAGUUAAACUUAUGAAUCUGUUUGGCCGUAUAUUUAACAUAGCCGGCUAUUUAACAUAUCCAGCAAAAUAAUUGUUUAACAUAUUAUUGUACCGGCUAUAAUUUAACAUAGCUAUCUUAAUGGUCAUUUAACAAAGUAAGAUCUCUCGAUCGCUGCAUCUCCAGUGAGCUUUUGGCCAUUGCAUCUCCGGUGAAGCUCUC
rnacentral:lncRNA from 1 species